AUCGAACGCUGGCGGCAUGCCUAACACAUGCAAGUCGAGCGAGCGGCGGACGGGUGAGUAAUGUAUGGGGACUGCCCGAUAUAGGGGGAUAACUACUGGAAACGGUGGCUAAUACCGCCUACUGUCGGAUAACCCAUAUGGGAUUAGCUAGUAGGUACGGUAAUGGCUUACCUAGGCGGCGAUCCCUAGCUGGUCUGCGAGGAUGAUCAGCCAAACUGGGACUGAGAAACGGCCCAAACUCCAACGGAGGCAGCAUUGGGGAAUCUUGCACAAGGGGCGCAAGCCUGAUGCAGCCAGGCCGCGUGUAUGAAGAAGGCCCUAGGGUUGUAAAGUACUUUCAGUCGGGAGGCGUUACCGACAGAAGAAGCACCGGCUAACUCCGUGCCAGCAGCCGCGGUAAUUC
rnacentral:rRNA from 1 species